UACAGAGGGGGGCAAGCGUUGUUCGGAAUUACUGGGCGUAAAGGGCGCGUAGGCGGCCUGUUAAGUCGAACGUGAAAUCCCCGGGCUCAACCCGGGAACUGCGUCCGAUACUGGCAGGCUUGAAUCCGGGAGAGGGAUGCGGAAUUCCAGGUGUAGCGGUGAAAUGCGUAGAUAUCUGGAGGAACACCGGUGGCGAAGGCGGCAUCCUGGACCGGCAUUGACGCUGAGGCGCGAAAGCCAGGGGAGCAAACGGGG
rnacentral:rRNA from 1 species